AUUGAACGCUGGCUGCCGGCCUAACACAUGCAAGUCGAGCGGAGCGGCGGACGGGAGCGUAAUGCCUAGGAAUCAGCCUGGUAGUGGGGGACAACGUUCAGAUACGGGCGCUAAUACCGCAUCAUACCGGCUGAGUCUAGGUUGGAUUAGCUAGUUGUUGGGGUAAAGACCGACCAAGGCGACGAUCCGUAACUUGUCUGAGAGGAGGAACAGUCACACUGGAACUUGGACACGGUGCAGUCUUCUACGGGAGGCAGCAGUGGGGAUGAUGGGGCAAUGGGCCAAAGCCUGGUUCAGCCAUGCCGCGUGUGUGAAGAAGGUCUUCGGAUUGUAACGCACUUGAAGUUGUGAUUCGUUGCCAGCAGAAUAAGCCCCGGCUAACUUCGUGCCAGCAGCCGCGGUAAUAC
rnacentral:rRNA from 1 species